rnacentral:rRNA from 1 species
CAGUCGUACCGGCGGAUAAUCAGCCUUUCGGGUGCGAUUCUGUGGGGCGUGAGGUGCUUAACCGCCUUCAUGUUUUGCAUAUUCGUGCACAUUUGGUGUACUUGUCCGUGUGGUGGGUUAACAUCAAUUUCGGUCGUCAUAAAAUGAUUGGAGGAAUGUAGCUUUGAUCUCGUAUCGAAGUGUUAUAGACUCUGGUAGAUGUGACGGGUUGGGAUUGGAGGUAUUGGCAACGGACUACCCCUUCGGGGCCUACCCGUCUGAUCUCUGAAGGUUGCUCCGGUGCCGAAGCGUGCUUACGGUCAACGAAGUG